rnacentral:rRNA from 1 species
GACGAGGGGUCCAAGCGUUGUUCGGAAUCAUUGGGCGUAAAGCGGGUGUAGGCGGCUCUAUAAGUCAGGCGUGAAAGCCCCAAGCUUAACUUGGGAAGUGCUUUUGAUACUGCAGAGCUUGAAUGUGGGAGAGGGUAGUGGAAUUCCAGGUGUAGUGGUGAAAUACGUAGAUAUCUGGAGGAACACCGGUGGCGAAGGCGGCUACCUGGCCCAACAUUGACGCUGAGACCCGAAAGCAUGGGGAUCAAACAGG